GCUAAACGCGAAGAACCUUACCAAGGCUUGACAUACACCAGAACACCCUGGAAACAGGGGACUCUUUGGACACUGGUGAACAGGUGGUGCAUGGUUGUCGUCAGCUCGUGUCGUGAGAUGUUGGGUUAAGUCCCGCAACGAGCGCAACCCUCGUUCUAUGUUGCCAGCACGUUAUGGUGGGAACUCAUGGGAUACUGCCGGGGUCAACUCGGAGGAAGGUGGGGAUGACGUCAAAUCAUCAUGCCCCUUAUGUCUUGGGCUUCACGCAUGCUACAAUGGCCGGUACAAUGGGCUGCGAUACCGUAAGGUGGAGCGAAUCCCAAAAAGCCGGUCCCAGUUCGGAUUGAGGUCUGCAACUCGACCUCAUGAAGUCGGAGUCGCUAGUAAUCGCAGAUCAGCAACGCUGCGGUGAAUACGUUCCCGGGUCUUGUACACACCG
rnacentral:rRNA from 1 species